UACGUAGGGGGCAAGCGUUGUCCGGAAUCAUUGGGCGUAAAGCGCGUGUAGGCGGUUCGAUAAGUCUGCUGUGAAAGUCAAAGGCUUAACCUUUGAAUGCCAGUGGAUACUGUCGGACUAGAGUGCGGAAGAGGCAAGUGGAAUUCCUGGUGUAGCGGUGAAAUGCGCAGAUAUCAGGAGGAACACCAACGGCGAAGGCAGCUUGCUGAGACGUUACUGACGCUGAGACGCGAAAGCGUGGGGAGCAAACAGG
rnacentral:rRNA from 1 species